GGGUCAUGAACCACCCCUCGCGCUUGGCGUGAAAAACACCUUGGAAUGAGUCGGACCCCUCUCACGAAUAUAUAGCCGAAAGAAUUUUUCGAAAAUCUAAAGUAGGACCGGAGAUAUAACGAUCGCAAUAUUUACCCUCUCAACUCGCUUCAUUCCGGAGGAGAGGACAGCGCCGUUCGAGGAGCCCCGCCCAGUGUGCAUUACGUCACCUCGUUUCAAUGUUGUGUGGUCUCCUUUCCGCGUAACUUAGAGGUGCUGACAGCUGCUGCUGGCAACUCAUAGUUCCGGUCGGCUGCUUCUCGCUGCGCGGUGUAUCGCGUGUGGGCUGGUGUGGGGUCUAGGCGCUGACGCGAAUAUUUGCAUUGAUACUACUGUCGUCUAAGCCGCUGUGUUUCCCUUAGCCGCACGCCUACUGCCUUGGAAGCGCGCAUGCUUACGUCUUCUGUGUGCGGCUUGUCUUUCGAUCGUGCGCGUACGCCAGCAGCAGGCGUAACAGCACGCCGAUGGAUCCCGCGCUCCGAGCACGGAUCGAACGUAAGACACGGGAAAUGCGUUUCGACCCUUAUAGUGACUCACCACUAAGGUCUGCAACUCGGGAACCGGACGACCCAGAGCCUCCAGGACCUCCACAACGUGGCGGCGACGACAUGAAUUGGUGCACUUGUGGCCUGUGCUUGGCCAGCGAAAAUGCAGUAGAAAACCUGUGCUGUCGGGAUAUUCCGAAAAUAAUUGAAAAAGGCAAUGAAGACUGCAUUACCCGUCAUGCACACUUCACAAGCCUCUGUUUGAACCCGGCUGUCCUGGAAGCUAUGUACUGGGAGGUGACGGAGAAUGGCACUAACAUCAUGGGAGAAAUCCACAAGUAAAAUUCACCUGCUAAGCGUGUAGUUAAGGUGGCUUUCUCAUGCAUUCUUCUUGCUUACAGAAAAUAUCGCUUCGUGGCGUACAGGAUGUUCACCAGGUGGAUAUGGAAGAAGCUUGGGAGGAACAACAGGGUUGUGCUGCCUGCUUGCGUUGUAGCAAGGAUAAGGAAGGAGUUCCCAUCAGCAUCUUACGUUGGCUUCCAGUACCCCUCGCUAUGAAUUACGGGGUGGCCCCGAUGAGCUGCUGGCAAGGCUGCUCCGGUGUGAGCUGGCCUCACACUUCAUGAUCACAGCUGUGAUGAGCUCGUCAACAUACCCUACAAGUAAAUAAAAUGAACUGUCAUGUCACAGUGUGACUCUUUUCUGUAAGUGGGCUGGCCAUAUAAAACAUGUUACCAAGACAUUAUUAGAACUUGUUGUUGGGCUAGUUGGUUACUUGUCAUAUUGAAGGUACUUAGCGCAACUUGGCAUUCACUGAAAAAACACUCUCAUUCACACACGCAUCCACUCAAGAACACACCCCAGACUGCGCGUGUUUUUUGAGUGAAUGCCAACGUGCGCUAAGUAUCUUCAAUAUGUUACCAAGGCAAACGUUAUAGGCAUGCAUCAGGCAGUGUUAGCAUUAGCCGUGAACGUAGUAAAUUUCAUAAUAAAAGAAUUUU